AAAAGUCCUGGCUUAUUAAUAGUGUGGAUCUUUACUUUUUGAUUGAGCAAGUAUUUCAAAGAUUAGUUGAGGGGCGGAACCAAAGGGCCCAAGAACUGCAAGUAGGAUGCGUGACACACAACAUCUGUAUGCAGACUAGAACCUUAGGUUCUUUAUUUUACUUCGUUUCUAUCCCGAAAGUUCUUUUAAGGAUGCUCAGCAGCUGUGACCUGGUUUACUAGAUGUGGGUAGUUUGGAGACAGAGAUUUUACACAAUUCAAGUAAAAGGAAAUGAGGUAGUGAGAGUGAAAUUAGCAGAGUGCUUCUGAUAGGUCAGGCAUCCUGUGAGGGACAUCUCAUUGUGCCAAUAAGAAACAAAAACAUGUCAGAGUGCCAGGGCCCCGGCUACUUCUGAGUUGUUAGGAGUGGGCGAUGUUUGAAUUUUGCUUUGUUUUGUUUUUCCAGAGAAGGUUUCUCUGUGUAGCUUUGCCUGUCCAGGCUGGCCUGGAACUUACAGAGGCUCUCCUGCCUAUGCCCUCAUUCUGUUGGAUAAAGUGAGUGUUGGGAUUAAAGGUGUGCGCCAUCACCCCCCCAGCUAUGUUUUUGAAAUCUUAAGUGUCAAAUUUCUUUUUUGAUCAGAAGAUUUAAUUUAAGAAAAAGAAGAAGAAGAAGAAGAAGAAGAAGAAGAAGAAAAGAAGAAGAAGAAGAAGAAGAGGAUGAGGAGGAGGAGGAGGAGGAAGAGGAGGAGGAGGAAGAGGAGGAAGAGGAAGAGGAAGAAGAGGAAGAUGCUUCUGGGCUCUCCUGGCUUCAUGGGGGAUGUAAUUCUUAUGCUACGAAGUUCACCAUUUUAAGGCCUUCAAUAUUAAACAUCAUCUCCACCAUGAAACCAAGGAGUACCCUUCUCUUGCUCAUGAUGGUAUCCCUUCCACAUAGUCUGGCCUACAGUAGUUACUCAAUAAAGUUUGACUUAAUUGCAUGCUUGAAUAAAAA